rnacentral:lncRNA from 1 species
GGGAUCCACCUCUUCCUGAAGGCUGGGGCACUUUGGGGCAUGAAUAUCAACUCAGAACUGAGUUAGUUAAAUGAACUGUAGCUCUUGCUGAUAAUUCACUCCCACAUGAGAAUGGGAGUUCACCCACACGAUUUAGUUUUCCCAUUGAUAAGAGAAAAUGAGGCCUUGCCAGAGAAAUGCAUGUUCCAUACCAAUGCAGUCGGCUUUGUGUUUGUGCAUAUCUUUCCAGGUGAAGG